rnacentral:lncRNA from 1 species
UUUUUGAUCCCCUUCCCCAUUUUGGUCCAAGGAAUGUCCAGCCGAGGAAGGAAGAUUUUCUUGUUGACUGGAGUUGCUACAUUCUCCAACCUCAAAGACAUGAUAUCUGAACAUUUUUUGAUCUCCUCCCUGGUUUUGAUCCGAACAACAUUCGGCUGAGGAAGGAAGAAUUGCUUUUUGCUUAGAGCUGCCAGAUUCUCCAACCUCAGAGACAUGAUUCGACUCAUUCAUCUGAGCAGUUUCUGUCUCAUGUGAGACAGAAGUAGUGCCAUUGGCAUUUUUCUUUCGAUUUUUUACUGCAGGCAGGAAGAAAAUUGAUAGAAGUUAGUUAACAAACUUAAUCCAUCAAAGAAAUCUUAGUAGAAGGAAUUCAUGGCAUUGAAAUUACAUGUAUCAAGGAUGGCUUAGCAAUAUAAAAACUUAUAUCAAUUAGCAAACACUCCGUACAAUGGAGAGUACCACUAUUCAAAAUCUUACACUAAAAGACUAUGUCAAUCUAACAAGAGUAAUUACAUCCUUAAUUUCAGUCAAAUAGAGAAAAAUUUUAGAGUGGACCGAUGAAUUGGAGAACCAAAUCAUCCUAAGCACACUCCUCAACAGUUUGGAAUUUCUAAUCUCAAAUGACAAGAAUGAUAUACCAUAGUUUCUUACUGAGUAGUCUCUUAAGCAGUUACCUUGCAGAACAGUGCCACAUCCACCACACUUGUACACUGGAAUAUUUGGUGGCUCUGGAAGCAGCAUUCGACAUCUUGGGCAUCUAACCACUCGAACACUAUGAGUUGGUCCACUCUCCAUAUUCCUCAAGAUGUAUGCUUUAUGCAGUCAAUUAGAUUCCAACACUAACUUCAACACAGUACAGAGUUCAUAAUUAAACCCAGAUUCAACUAUGAACGAAGCGGCUUGUCGUAAGAUUAUACAGUCCCAUGCCUGCAAAAUUGGCAUCGUUACAGAAGUUAAAGUUUAAAGUAGAAAGAGAAACUUAAGAAACUGUCAUCAUAAAGCAAGUGAACAAAGUUGUUAAAGUAGUAAUAAGGCAUCAAUCUUUUUAACACUUUGGCAGCCAGAUGGAGAGAUUCUUAAAUUUCAGCUCAAAAGAAAUACAAAUGUAAAACAACCCAUUGAAAUAAUUUCAUCUCUUUAAACAGAUAUGUUGUCUAAAACACGCUUUGUAUUUUCCCUUGAUCAAGUCCAGAAUGAAUCAAGAAGCAAUCGGAGAUCUACUCAACUGGGAAAAACACACUAAUUAAGGGCAUCAAAAUAUCUAAUUUUAAUCAAUAACCUAUCUACAAGCCGCUGCUAGCUAAUUAACUAACAGAAUAGAAUUAUGCAACGGUCAACAUCAGACGUAUGCAGACAUAUAUAUAUGGACAGACACGCAUAUAUAAGUAAACGAUGAUAAGCAAUGAAAUCUAGUAAAGAUUGCUGGAAUACACAAGGAAAUUAAACUAAACAGCUUUGAUCAUCAGAUCAAAUGACAGCAUCUUAAUGUUAAUUUGGAGAAAGAGAAAAAAAAAACAUACAUGCACACACAUACCUGUAAUAGCAAUAACUAAAAUUUACAAGAUCUGGGGAUAUUGAGUUAAAACAAGAAAAAAAGUUAAUGUUAAACGAAUUUUCAAACACAUAUAUUUAUAGAAGGGAAUUAAACGUGAAAACGGAUAGACAUGGGUAAAUAGUCAGAGACUAACGAACCUUACUGGAAAUUGGAAAAGCACCAGAAGAAAGAUUCUUGACGUGGAGGCAAAGUUGCUGCUGAAUGUCGAUGAUGAUGAUGUGAUGCUGCUUUUGAGACGCUGCAAUUUCUACGCAUACACGUAUAGAUAAAGAUUGUAUAUAGACUUGUAUGUACGCAUGUAUCAAAACACAUGAAAGUCUUUCUUUCUUCUUUCUGGAGUCAGUCUCUUUUUCGGUACGUGCUUCAGAAGCUUCUUUGAGGACUUUUUAAAAGUCAAGCUCAGCUGCUCCACAACUUGUUCUUCUUGUUCUUGGUGUUGUUUUGAUUCCUAAAUUUGUGUGGUUUUUCGUUGUGUUGGGUGCUGGUGUUGGUUUUAAAAGAUAAAAGGUGGUGGGGGAGGCUCAGCGUUGACGUCGGUGCCGAUUGUAUUUAAGACACACCUGCUAGCUCUGCCUCUCUCUCUUACACAUCAACUCUCAUAAGCUGUCCACUUACUUCUUCAUUUCUCUUUUUUUCUUUUUAAUAUAAUGCAGAUUUUUACACGUUUUAAAAUACGAGACAUACUAUAAUUAUUAAUUAAAUUAAAAUUCAUAUUUUUAAAACAUAAUAUAACAUAUUUUAAGUAGUAGUUUAAUUCUGAUAUGAGAUGAUUUAAUAUUCAUCUAUUAAAUAAAUAAAAAAAUCAUUCUAUAAGUAAACGUCACUAAUGAGAUGAAAAAAGUGCAUUAUUACAGUAAUCUUAUUGUCUGAUUAAUGGUAAGUUUAUGAUUUUUUUUUUUGACAUUUACCAAGUCAUACCCUAAUUUUGUUCUUUAAUAAUAUAUUAUCCAUUCUCUCAAUCUAUUAGUUCUUCCUUACUAGUUGGGUGACUUUUUUACUAAAAAACAAAAAAAAAAAUUUGCCUUUUGUUAUAUUAAGUGAAUAAUUAAAAUAAUAAGUAAGUUGACUUAGAUGAGUUUAGAAGUUAAGUUAUUUGGUAGGUUUGGCCAAUAAUCUUAAAUAAUAAUAAAACUCCACUAUGUUCUGCCGUUUAUAAUAAUCAAACUACUAUUUGCAUCAUUACAAUUUAUGUAUUUCACCUUACCUAAAUCAAUGAGAAUUAAUGAUUGCCAUGUAUGCAGAGGCGAAGCUCUGAGGAGGCUAACCCGGGCUGUAGCCCGGGUUAGUUUCUUGAAAAAAAUAUUAAUUAAUUAUAAAAUUUAAAAAAAAAAACUUAUAGUAAAAUAUAAAAAUAUAACUAAUAAUUAUAGUCAAUAUCUAUUUUCUCUAAAUCGAAAAAUUAACUCAAAUCCCUGACUAAUUGAUCCAAUUAUCCAAAUUCUAAAUUCCCUAAAACUUAGUUGUUCAAGUCAUCAAGUUGCCACCUCAUGAGUGACGGCCAGCCUCUGCCGCACCCACAUGCUCAUACUGUUUUUGAAUUAGUUAUUAGUUUAUAUUUUUGUCAAAUUUUUUUGAUAAAAUAAUUAAUAAUUCUCUAAUAUAUUAUUAUCGCAAACAAUAUAAUUCAGAUACGAUAAUAUAUGAGUUUUUUUUUUUUUGAAGAAUCGCAGGACGAAAUUUCGUCGAUAUUGUUUUUUUUAUUUACAUUGUAUUUUUUUAAUUUUAUUAUUAAUUUUUUACUUGUCUAGUAUAUUUUAAUAAUUUCAUUUGUAUAGAAUAAAUUUUUUGAGAAGUAAUUGAAUGUAAAAAAAAUCUAGCCCACCCCAAAAAAUAGUGCUAGCUUCGCCACUGCAUGUAUGUCAAUCAAGAGAAGGGACAUUAAUACGUAAAGUUUAAUUUAAUACUAUCUAGGGUAAAUAAAUAUGUUCCCGAUAUAAAAAGAGAAAACUCUACAAUUAAAUUUUUCAUCACUCUUGAGGAGUACACUCUCAUAAAUACAUAAGCUUCCCAAAAUCUAUCAUUUGUAUGCGUAAAUACAUUAAUAGUAACUCAUUAACAUAUAAAAAUCAGUGUGGGUAUGAAUUUAAAUAUAAUCUAUUUGGAUAUAAGUCUUGUACGGAAUCUUAAAUCAAACUCAUUAUUUUAUCGUUUUUAAAUACUGAUUGCGGCUGUAUUGUAGUCAUUCUUACCUAAGUGAGUAUUACUCAAUAUAAGAUUUUACGUACAAAAUACAUUAACUAACAAUGAACAUAUAAAGGUCAAUAUUGGAUGUAUUGAUAAAUACAAGUGGGUCAACGGUGGAAUUGGUUGGAAAAGUCAUCGGGGGAGACUAGAAGUGGCCCAAAGUCUCCACGUGGCACUCUUUUUAUCCAGGCGACAGACAUACAAAAACCUGAGCUGUAAAGAUCAAAAGUAAUUUCUCUGAAUUUAAGGAAGUCUAAAGUGGGUACCACAUCUUACCAUUGACGACCGGCGGGACUCCAUCGUUAAUUAUGAAAGCCAAUCGAAUUACGCCACCUGGCGUCUCUGUCAGUUGCCUUCACUGUCAAAACAGCCUGGCUCUGCUCAAAUUCCCGUUUGGUGUUUAAGACCAAACUUGGAGGACUGGCCUUGUUUCCCACUGAUUCAGUUUUUAAUUCUUCAUUAAGUUUCUUAAUGCUUUGCUUAAGUUUUGACUGUAAGAAACCUUACAUUGAAAAAAAAAAAUAUAUUUUAAGUCAAACGAUUUAUGAAAUGGAAUUGGCAAGAAUCAAUCUGCUAAUUUAAAAAGGGAAAAAAAUUUGGACGAAACAUUCAAUUCAAUCAAGGAAAAAUGUCACUGUCCACCUAUUUUUUAUACAUUUUUUAAAAAUACAUAAUUUUUUUAUUUUUAGCUAGAAUUCACCUAAAGUUAUAUUUUGUUUCACUUUUUCAUUUUCGUUUGGAAUCCGUUAAGAAAACUAAUGGAAACUUUAAAAAAAUGACCAUUUUACCCCCAAAACGAAAAUUACAAUUUCACCCUAAAAAAUACCAAAAAUAAUCAGAUUUAAUGAUGAAUAUCAUUAUUGGUAUGUUAAUGAAGUACAAAAAAAUCUUAACUAUUGGAGAUUAUAACUCAAUGAAUAAUAAAACUCUACUUAUCUUAAAUUCAAUUGAUGGUUUGCGAGAUUAGGCUAUUUUUAAUACUACUGUUAUAAUUUAGCAUUCUAAUUACAGACAUAUUUAAAAAAAAAAGAAACAUGUAUUUGAUGGUUGUGAAAUUAAUUUCUUUAUUAACCGAUAGGGAAAAUAAUUAGAUUUAAUCUGAUUAUUUUUGGUAAUUUUUAAGGUGAAAUUGUAAUUUUCGUUUUGAGGGGUAAAAUGAUUAUUUUUUUAAGUUUCCAUUAGUUUUCUUAACGGAUUCUAAACGGAAGUGAAAAAGUGAAAUAAAAUAUAACUUUAGAUAAAUUCCAGUAAAAAAAUAAAGAAUUGUAUAUAUUUAAAAAAAAAAGUAUAAAAAAUAAAUGAACAAUGGAUAUUUUCCCUUCAAUCAAUAUCAUUCUCUGCUUUAAAAUGGAAAGCAAUGGUGUCCCCAAGUUAAUGCAAAAACUUGGUCAGAGUCAAAGAGUUCAAAGAAGAAUGGAAUAAAUUAUAAUGACGUCAAAUAUAAUAUAACGUGUGCAUAUAAAGAAGUCACGAUUCAAAUGUCCGGGCAGAGACCGCUUGAAAUUUGUUGUGUUCAUUUUGUACACGGACCAUUUGAAAGUGCCCUCACAUUUAAUACUUCCUUCUAAAGAGGGGAAAUAUUCUGGGCCAAUGAAUUUUUUUUUUUUUUUUUUUAAUGAAAACGUCAUACAAUUGAAAGUAACACGAAUGUCUUAUGGUUUAAUUAUAAUUAUGUGAUAGAAAGUUUUUUAAAAUUUUUGGACUCAUUUUUUUGAAGACACAAUUAUCAAGAUUUUCAAUCAGCCAUCACAAAUAAAUUUACAUGGAUUUAUUUUUAAAAAAUAAAACUAAAAUAAACAAUCAAAAAGUUACUCGCAUCAUUACACUCUUUGCGAAUUUUUGACAAAAAAAAUAUUAAUUAUUUCAAAAGAAAAUAGAAGUUUUUAAAUACAGAUAUUUUCAAAAAGCCCUGAGUACCUCGUUGUUAUUUUAAUUUCCUCUAAUAUUUUAAAUUAUUUAUAUAAUAUUUAUUAUAAUAAAUUACUUAUUACUCCAUUGGAGUCUAUGAAAAGCCUUAGAUUUGUGGUUGAGUGAUCCAUGUCAAUAAAUUGUUACUUUAAUUUCCUCUAAUAUUUUAAAUUAUUUAUAUAAUAUUCAUUAUAAUAAAUUAUUUAUUACUCUCUCUCUCUGUGUAUAUAUAUAUAAAUAAUAACAAGUGAUAAUAAAUAUUAAAAAAAAACAUGUAUAUUAUAUAUUCUAAGAACAUGAAAAUUAGUAUCUGAGUGAGAGACUCGCGCAAAUUUUGGCUGAGGGUCUAUCUAAAGCUUUAAGUUAAUAAAAUGACAAUCUGCGCAGAAUAUUUUACGAACAGAAUAAAAUAACAUGAGAAAUAAAAUUAAUGUGGCACUUUUUCUUUUUCUUUAUCAAAAUAGAACCUACUGUAUUUUCACUUUCAUUUAUACUUGUGCUUUGAAUUACCACAUACUCUACUUUGUCCAUAUAAAAAAUGUAGUAAUUUCUAAUUCAUCUUAAAACACAAAAAUAGAGAGUAACAGCAGCUUAUAGAUUUGCCCAAGCAAUAAGCAUUAAUUUAACUAUCCAGUAUAAGUUGAACACACUCACACAGGUUUAGAUGCCAACUAAAAAGUUAAAAAUUCCCAGCAACAAAGAUAUUUGAAAAGCUAGUUGACAAUAUUUAAGCUUCAACAACAUACAACACUUCAAAGGAAAAAGAAAGCUCAAGUUUUGGAAAUUUACUAGACCAAUAAUGGAGCGAAAUCAAAUUUAUGCAGUCAUAACUGCAGGCCUUUUGUACCCAAGAAAUGCUUGGCGAAGUUCUUGAUACCCACUCCUAUAAUGCUCCAGCGAGAAACAAAGCUGCCUUAUUGCCUCUCGCUUCUCCUCAGCCGCAUCUAAGAUGACCAUUCUCUGUCGGUCCACCUCAUUCUCCAGUUCCUUCACUCUGAAUCUUAAUUCAUCUACUAGCUUCCUUGAAGAUUCAGAUGCAGCAAUCAAUUCCACAUGUUCAAUAUGUAGCUUUCGUGAGUGUUCCUCUAUUUGGCCAAUGUGAUUGUCUCGGGAUCUUGCUUCUGCCACGAGUGUGUUUACCUUUGCAUUAAUCUCAUCUUUCUCUGCCAUAAGCAUGUCAUAUUUCAGUUUAAGACUGUCCAUAAUUUUGUUCAAAGCUUCAAUGCGGUUAUCUCUCUCACAAACCUCUACUUUCAACUGAUUAAUCUCACUUUGCAUCCCCCUUUCUUGGGCCUCAUACAGACCUUUGAUCUCCAUUUUUUCAGUUUCACACUGCCUUAUUUUGUCUUCCAAUGCUUUUCCUUGCAAUUCCCACUCUUUGAGCCUUGCAUCUAAAAGGGCCUGUUUCUCUAAUAAGCAAAACAUUUCAGACUGCAAUUGUGCUUUGUCUGAAGUGAACUUUUCCUCUGCAUCGCUCAAUGCAAUUUUCAGUUCUGCAACCUCAUUAUUACGGUCAGACAGAUUAGUUUCAACUUUUGCAAUCCUCUCUUGAAACUUCAGAACCUGCAUUCUCUCAUAAUCAAGCUUUGCAUUCAACGUGGUCACAUCAUCUUGAGCAAGUUUAAGCUGGCCUUGCAGUUGAUGAGUACCCUCAGAAAUUUCAUUAGUAAGUUGAUUGUUUAAUCGAUUUAUCUCUUCCUCUGAUCCCUUAAGUCUCUCACUACUUACUUCAAGCUCUUUCAUCAACCUUUCAAUCUCAAAAUUUGAUUCUGAAAGACGAGUUUCUAACUCACUCACAUAGUUUUGCAGUUCAAACACUUGUCUUCUCUCCAUCUCCAGAUCAGCCUCCCUGAUAUUGACAUCUCUCUUUGCCAAUUCAAUCUGAGAAUGAAGCUCACUCUUCAACCUGGCAACCUCUUCUUCUGAAAGCUGGAGACUUAAGUUUAAAACCCUUAACUUGACUUCAUACUCAGUAACACGCCCAUGUAGUUCUUCAUAAGUUUCAUUUGCUUCCUCGGUAAGUUCCUUGCCAUCCAUGUUUAUAGGUGCAUCCAGGUGGAUUUUGACAGAGGAGUUAGAAAACUCUGACUCUGAGUCCGAUGAUGAGGGUGAAGAUAAUUCAGCCCCUUCCUUCAAAGAAAAAUUAGAGCUGCCACCAGAGGUAGAAGAUGUAGCUUGACAGCUAGUGUUGUGCAAACCCAUCUUACGAUCAGGAGUCAGCAGUGGAGAGCCUUGGGCAGAGCCAGAUUUAGUGUUACCAGAACCCUGCAGUGGAAUAUCUGAUGGUACAUUCUUUUGUAAUUCUCCAGUCAGAUGAUCGUAGCGCUCAGCCAAAGAUUGAUAAAAGUGAUAGAAAUCCUCAAUGUGAGCAGUCAACUCCGGCCUAUGAAAUUUUGACAAAGAUUCACCAUCUUCUAUCAGUUUCUGCAUUUGCUUGACACUCCGGUCCAUCUCUGCAAAAUUUCACGAUUUUUUUGUCAUUCGUACAAACUAAGCGCUUUAGAACGAAUUAAACAGUAAAUCAACAUCAGAGAAAAGAUCAUUAUCCCAACAAGAGUAUGAUGCUCAACUGAAAGCACAAAAUCCUACCAUUGGAAUGUAAAAAUGAGCUCACGAAUGAACUUCAAACCAGCAAACAAAUAAAUUACCGAGAAACAAAACAGGGAGUAAGGAAGGAUGCAGCAACUUACCCUGAAGAUUUUCUGCCAGCCAUCUUGAGCUUGAUCGCGACUCCUUGGAUUCUGUUUGCUUCAUAUCAGUCUCCAUCUGACUUCAAUUACUAUAUGCCAUACACAAUACAAGCUCUUUAACAGAAAUCCGCGUAUUUUAAAGUGUGAAUAUGAGGCUUAAGCAUCCAUGUCUAACAAGAGUUGCUAGAAUACAGUGUUAAACUAGACCUAGUCUUGAAGCCACAAUUAAACAAAUAAUUAAUUACAAAAAUUAAUUAAAAUGUUUAAGACUCUAUAGCUCAUUGAGAUAAAAGUGGAAUUUCAUCAUCAUCUUGUACUUAAUAAAUAUCCAACCGAUUACUAAAAACUUAAACCGAUCGGAAAUUAAAAAAAAAAAAAACUCCAAUUAUAAUGACGAAGAGAAGUAAUUAUUAAGCAUAAACAGAUCUUGUAAAUCUCAGGAGCCAAACACAUACAUAAAUCAUGAAAAAUAAAAUAAAAUCAAAUGAAACUAGUAGUAAUGAGGAAGCUCAAUUUACUAGCCGUUUUGAUAUAGCAAGGCAGAUGAAAAGCUGAAAUCUGAUGCAGGGAAUUAUUAUGAGAGAGAUAUGUUGAUGAUAGAACCUGAAGAAAAUGGGGACAAUGAGAAAAGGCUGAGAGAGGGAACAUAAAAAGGCGUUCUUAAUUAGAUUUUUUUUUUUUUCAGGGGGCUUUAGCCUUGUAGUAUUCAGCUUUGCUGCUGACGUCAGAUUGGGGGCUGAAAAAAUCUCUGCGUUCAUAACUGAGGUUGACAUUCAUCUGACGCUGCUUUGGCUGUUCAUUGGGGGAAGAUAAAAGAACAUCCGAUGAAAAGCUUUCUGCUGCCAGCUUAUGAGAAGUAACAGUAGAAUUGUUUUCCUUUCCUGCCAUGUUGUCAGUAGUUGAGCUUCUCACAGUUGUAUUACUCUGACUAUUAACGUCCUCUGCCAAUUUUGCUCCGGCAUGCGGUGAGCUCAUCUCAUUUAACUCCACUUCUGAAUUUGCUCUCGCCAAUUGAGACAGAUCUUCAUUUUCAUGAUUAGCAUCCUCAAAUGAUGAACAAACUUUAAUGGAAACUCCAGGCUGUUUGAUGUUGCAAUCCUGAGACUCAUAGUGAUCACUUUUGUUGUUUUGAUCUUUAUCUGAUGAAUUUAACUCUUCAGAAUUUGCAACACUGCAAUCUCUGGAUAGUUGUUUAUCCAAAGAACAUUCACCUGAGGAAGGAAGAAUUGCAUUUUGGCUAGAGCUGCUAGAUUCUCCAUCUUUGGAGACAUGAUCUGUGGAUAUUUUUUGGUCCCCUCCACUGUUUUGGUCCAAUGAACAUUCACCUGAGGAAGGAAGAAUUGAAUUUUGGCUAGAGCUGCUAGAUUCUCCAUCUUCAGAGACAUGAUCUGUGGAUAUUUUUUGGUCCCCUCCACUGUUUUGGUCCAAAGAACAUUCACCUGAGGAAGGAAGAAUUUGUUUUUGACUAGAGCUGCAAGCUUCUCCAUCUUCAGAGAUAUGAUCUCCGGAUUGUUUUUGAUCCCCUUCCCCAUUUUGGUCCAAGGAACGUCCAGCCGAGGAAGGAAGAUUUUCUUGUUGACUGGAGUUGCUACAGUCUCCAACCAAAGACAUGAUAUUUGAACAUUUUUUUAUCUCCUCCCUGGUUUUGAUCCAAAGAACAUUCGGCUGCGGAAGGAAGAAUUGCUCUUUGCUUAGAGCUGCCAGAUUCUCCAACCUCAGAGACACGAUUCGACUCAUUCAUCUGAGCAGUUUCUGUCUCAUGUGAGACAGAAGUAGUGCCAUUGGCAUUAUUCUUUCGUUUUUUU